CCGGACGGACCCCGCGAGCUCCGCCUCCGCCGCUGGCUGAGAAAGCGGCGGGGCCUCUGCUCCCAGAUCCCGCCCGCCUCGGGCGCAGCGUACUGGGACCCGCACGUGCCGCGGGAGAGGUGGGUGCGGGCGCCCGGGGCGGUCAGGAGACAGCCACGCACUGGGAACCCAGGCAGGAUCGAAACCCUAAGGAUAUUGUUCUACUGGAAACCCUAAGAUUCCCUGAGCUUGUUGCCGGUUACCCAAAGGGAUUUGCGAAAAUUGAUAUUAUGUACAUAAAUGUUUGACACAGGGCAGCAGACACGACAAAGGAGAUGAGAUCUGGCGCUGUGUCUCCCUCAGAGGUGUCACCAUGGAGUCACCAGGGACGCUACAGCCAGCCACCCUAGAGAAGCCAGAGAGACUGAUAGGAUUGUGUGGGGCCUUGAGGGAAUCAGAGUUUUCGACCCUGGCCUCCAGGACGGGGAAGAGCAGUUGCUGUUUCUCCCCACUUGGACCUAUCCACAGCCUGAUUUCUCCAGAUCCAUGUCUCUCUCCAAACUUUUCAGGCCUUGCAGAGCUAUGUGAAAAACGGAAGCUACAGGGAGGCUUCCAAGGAAAACCACUUUCCCUUUAGAUGCUUGGAUUUAACACCUUCCCCAUCCUUAAGAUUUAAGAGGUGUUAGAGUCAUAAUUGCAAUGGAUGCCAUUUAUGGAAUGCUCACACAAGAA